GACAGAGGAUGCAAGCGUUAUCCGGAAUGAUUGGGCGUAAAGCGUCUGUAGGUGGCUUUUUAAGUCCGCCGUCAAAUCCCAGGGCUCAACCCUGGACAGGCGGUGGAAACUACCAAGCUGGAGUACGGUAGGGGCAGAGGGAAUUUCCGGUGGAGCGGUGAAAUGCGUAGAGAUCGGAAAGACCACCAAUGGCGAAGGCACUCUACUGGGCCAUUACUGACACUGAGAGACGAAAGCUAGGGGAGCAAAUGGG
rnacentral:rRNA from 1 species